UGGGGAAUUUUGGACAAUGGGCGAAAGCCUGAUCCAGCAAUGCCGCGUGUGUGAAGAAGGCCUUCGGGUUGUAAAGCACUUUUGUCCGGAAAGAAAUCCUUGGCUCUAAUACAGUCGGGGGAUGACGGUACCGGAAGAAUAAGCACCGGCUAACUACGUGCCAGCAGCCGCGGUAAUACGUAGGGUGCAAGCGUUAAUCGGAAUUACUGGGCGUAAAGCGUGCGCAGGCGGUUUGCUAAGACCGAUGUGAAAUCCCCGGGCUCAACCUGGGAACUGCAUUGGUGACUGGCAGGCUAGAGUAUGGCAGAGGGGGGUAGAAUUCCACGUGUAGCAGUGAAAUGCGUAGAGAUGUGGAGGAAUACCGAUGGCGAAGGCAGCCCCCUGGGCCAAUACUGACGCUCAUGCACGAAAGCGUGGGGAGCAAACAGGAUUAGAUACCCUGGUAGUCCACGCCCUAAACGAUGUCAACUAGUUGUUGGGGACUUCAUUUUCCUUAGUAACGUAGCUAACGCGUGAAGUUGACCGCCUGGGGAGUACGGUCGCAAGAUUAAAACUUAAAUGAAUUGACGGGGU
rnacentral:rRNA from 1 species